rnacentral:rRNA from 1 species
GACGAACGCUGGCGGCGUGCUUAACACAUGCAAGUCGAACGGUAAGGCCCUUCGGGGUACACGAGUGGCGAACGGGUGAGUAACACGUGGGUGAUCUGCCCUGCACUUCGGGAUAAGCCUGGGAAACUGGGUCUAAUACCGGAUAGGACCACUGGCUGCCUGGGUGGUGGUGGAAAGCUUUUGCGGUGUGGGAGGGGCCCGCGGCCUAUCAGCUUGUUGGUGGGGUGAUGGACGACCAAGGCGAGGACGGGUAGCCGGCGUGAGAGGGUGACCGGCCACACUGGGACUGGGAUGCGGGCCAGACUCCUACGUGAGGCAGCAGUGGGGAAUAUUGCACAAUGGGCGCAAGCCUGAUGCAGCGGCGCCGCGUGAGGGAUGACGGCCUUCGGGUUGUAAACCUCUUUCAGCACCGACGAAGCGCAAGUGACGGUAGGUGCAGAAGAAGGACCGGCCAACUACGUGCCAGCCGCCGCGGUAA